rnacentral:rRNA from 1 species
UGGGGAAUAUUGCACAAUGGGCGCAAGCCUGAUGCAGCGACGCCGCGUGAGGGAUGACGGCCUUCGGGUUGUAAACCUCUUUCACCAGGGACGAAGCGCAAGUGACGGUACCUGGAGAAGAAGCACCGGCCAACUACGUGCCAGCAGCCGCGGUAAUACGUAGGGUGCGAGCGUUGUCCGGAAUUACUGGGCGUAAAGAGCUCGUAGGUGGUUUGUCGCGUUGUUCGUGAAAACUCACAACUCAAUUGUGGGCGUGCGGGCGAUACGGGCAGACUAGAGUACUGCAGGGGAGACUGGAAUUCCUGGUGUAGCGGUGGAAUGCGCAGAUAUCAGGAGGAACACCGGUGGCGAAGGCGGGUCUCUGGGCAGUAACUGACGCUGAGGAGCGAAAGCGUGGGGAGCGAACAGGAUUAGAUACCCUGGUAGUCCACGCCGUAAACGGUGGGUACUAGGUGUGGGUUCCUUCCUUGGGAUCCGUGCCGUAGCUAACGCAUUGAAGUACCCCGCCUGGGGAGUACGGCCGCAAGGCUAAAACUUAAAGGAAUUGACGGGGUCAUAGCUG